rnacentral:rRNA from 1 species
GUUGGCUUAGAAGCAGCCAUCAUUUAAAGAAAGCGUAAUAGCUCACUGGUCGAGUCGGCCUGCGCGGAAGAUGUAACGGGGCUAAACCAUGCACCGAAGCUGCGGCAGCGACACUGUGUGUUGUUGGGUAGGGGAGCGUUCUGUAAGCCUGUGAAGGUGGCCUGUGAGGGUUGCUGGAGGUAUCAGAAGUGCGAAUGCUGACAUAAGUAACGAUAAAGCGGGUGAAAAGCCCGCUCGCCGGAAGACCAAGGGUUCCUGUCCAACGUUAAUCGGGGCAGGGUGAGUCGACCCCUAAGGCGAGGCCGAAAGGCGUAGUCGAUGGGAAACAGGUUAAUAUUCCUGUACUUGGUGUUACUGCGAAGGGGGGACGGAGAAGGCUAUGUUGGCCGGGCGACGGUUGUCCCGGUUUAAGCGUGUAGGCUGGUUUUCCAGGCAAAUCCGGAAAAUCAAGGCUGAGGCGUGACGACGAGGCACUACGGUGCUGAAGCAACAAAUGCCCUGCUUCCAGGAAAAGCCUCUAAGCAUCAGGUAACAUCAAAUCGUACCCCAAACCGACACAGGUGGUCAGGUAGAGA